GUACUGACGAAGAGUCACAAAAUAGGACGAAACAGCUGUCCAGUAC
rnacentral:hammerhead_ribozyme from 1 species